rnacentral:SRP_RNA from 1 species
GCCGGGCAUGGUGGUGCGUGCCUGUAAUCCCAGCUACUUGGGAGGCUGAGGCAGGAGAAUUGCUUGAACCCAGGAGUAGAGGUUGCAUUGAGCUGAGAUUGCACCAUUGCACUCCAGCCUGGGCAACAGAGUAAGACUCUGUCUCAA